rnacentral:lncRNA from 1 species
CAGAGUGUCAGAAGAGAGAUUGGAAGAUGCGGUUUGUGAAGUGUGUUGAAUGGCUUAAAGGCUAAAAGUCAGUAUAGCCCACUUGAUUCUCUGAAACUGAACCACUGGGUGCAUGGCAUGGGUGCCCUUAAUCAUUAAUUAAUAUAUUCAACCUUUUUCUCUGCUGCUGUUUGGAUCAACUGACUUCAAACUUCCAGUCAGUCAGGUGAGUCAUUACUGGUGCGGUUUCUCCACCGCCAAUCCCAUGCAAUUUAUCCCUAUUCGGUUAAAAUCAAAUUAAUUGAUUGAAUUAAUUGAUUAAUCAAUCAAUCUAAUUCGAUUAAAAGUCAAUUAAUAUUUUUUUAAAAUUUAAUUAUUAAUUAAUUCAAUUCAAAAUCGAAUAAUUAAUCGAAAAAAAUGAUAUAUGUAUAGGCCUAAAUCUGUCCGAGGCCCAACAACCAGAAUAAAACCAAAUAUUAAACCAAAAAUCCAUAUAAAUAAAAAACCAAAUAAUAAAAAGUCCAAUUAUUAGUCCAUUACAUAUCAGACCCAAUAGCGCAGUUACAAGCCCAUUUACAAAACAACCUAGCCCAAUCAAAUAACCCAAUGCCUAAAAGUCCCAGUGGCCCAAAACCUAGACCUAGGUUCAGCCAAACAGAAUCCUAGGGUUUCCUUAGCACCGCAGCCCCUAGCCUCCAGCGUCGUACAACCUCCAGCAUUUCAGCAGCCUCCAGCACAUCGCCUCCGUAUGCCAGCACACAGCCCUCGUACACGCGCCACACACACCCCGUACUUGUAAAAAGUGACGAACGCACAACAAAACAAAAACAAAAAAAGAAUACUGUAUUUUUUUUAUUAUCUUUAUCAUUUUUAUCCCUUCGGCUAUAAAGCCAAGAGAUUUGAUCGUUUACAAUGUUACGCACACUGGAUAUUAAAGAAAAAUCAAGCCAAAAGUUAUUAAAAGGUGAUUUCCAAAUCUGUUUUUUUUCGUUUCUUUUGAGGGGUUUUGCAAUCUUAGCGUGAACACAUAAAGGGAACCCGAAUCGACGCCGAUGAAAGCCCAAGCAUCUUAGAAAUGCAAAGAUGCGGGUGAGGGUCGAAUGGCGUUAAAAUUUUGUUUAAAUCUUCAAAGUUUGUUUCGUUUUUUUUGAAAGAACAGCAUAAGAUUCAAGUUUUUUUUUUAAAAAAAAAAGAAAGGGAAAAGAGGGAGCGAGGUUACCAGAUCUUCAUGGUCGAGGCCUCCGUUGGCAAGAUCUGGCCGUCAUCCGCACCAUUAGCCAUCAAGUUGAUGGUGGUUUGGUGGCUGCGUAAUUGAACAAACCCUAAGAGAGCAAGGGUUCUUUUUCUUCAUCUGCGAUUUCGGAAAGAAAAGGAAUGGGAAUAGUGACCUUUAGCACCAGAAUAAAAAACGGCGCCGUUUCAGCGAUAAGGAUUCGCAUGUCAACCCGAUGGGCAGGCCGGAUCUGCGCCCUUUUAUUCAAAAUGGGGAAUUUGCGCGUUAGGUCCUCCCUGUUCAUGCGAGUCUUCUAUUGCACCUUAUGCAUUUUACUUUGUUUUUAAAAUUUGACUCUGUAAUUUGCUCGCGUUUGCACUUUGGUCUGUGCCUCUGCGCUGCGUUUUAGAACUUGGGUUAUUUCCAGUUCUAGUCCCUAUACGUUUGCGCGCAUCGCACAUUGGUCCUCUUUUGAUUAUUUUAUUUGUAAAUUAACCUUUUUUUUGUUUUAAUUUUACUUUAAUUAGUUUUUUUAUUUUCUAAAAUAGAUUCAUUUCAUAGUUUUUUUUUACUCUUAUUAACUUAUGUGUACAUUUUGAAUUACCUCGAUAAAUUUUUUUAUUAUUGUCAAUUUGUUUAUGCCAUAUCAUCUUCACAUUUUGUAAACUAUUUUUUUAUAUAAAUGCUUUUUCUUUACAUUGUUGUAUAUAUAAUAUUUGUAAUAAAGUUAAUUUUAGUCUAUGUACGUUAUUAAUGUUAUGUUAUUUCAUACAUAUAAUGGUUUUGAC